UUAAAGAGUUCUAUAACUCCCAAACCCAUGUGAACAUACCUAACGUUGCCUCGGCAGGUCGCACCUACCUUGUAGCACCCUACCCUGUAGGGCCUACCCGGGAGGUGCGGGUAAGCCUGCCGGCGGCCCACCAAACUCUGUUUGAUAUUGAAUUCUGAACCUAUAACUAAAUAAGUUAAAACUUUCAACAACGGAUCUCUUGGUUCUGGCAUCGAUGAAGAACGCAGCGAAAUGCGAUAAGUAAUGUGAAUUGCAGAAUUCAGUGAAUCAUCGAAUCUUUGAACGCAUAUUGCGCCCAUUAGUAUUCUAGUGGGCAGGACCGUUCGAGCGUCAUUUCAACCCUUAAGCCUUCGUUGCUUAGUGUUGGGAGCCUACGGCAACGUAGCUCCUCAAAGUUAGUGGCGGAGUUGGUUCACACUCUAGACGUAGUAAUUUUUUAUCUCGCCUAUUAGUUGGACUAAUCCCCUGCCGUAAAACCCCCAAUUUAUCAAGGUUGACCUCGAAUCGGUUCAGACAAACUCGCUAAAUUGAAGCAUCUUAGUCAGCGAAGGAAAAGAAACCAACAGGGAUUGCCCUAGUAACGGCGAGUGAAGCGGCAACAGCUCAAAUUUGAAAUCUGGCCCUC
rnacentral:rRNA from 1 species